GCGGAUAACACCUUAAGGAAGGAUUGUUUUUGUUUUAUAGGUUAACUGUGGUGGUAAAUUUUAGCACUCGGCUGAUUCUCUGAUUUUGAACAGGGCUUCCUUAAGUCAGAUCAUUGGUCUCUCUCUCAAGUAACUUAGGGUUUGAAAAACAGCUUCUCCAGUCAGCAUCUUACCCUGCUCCUCAACACUCAGCAAAUCCACAAAUAGAAACGAGUCGUUGCUUCGGAAAGCCUUGUUCAAAAUCAGAGAAUCAACCAAGUGAUAAAAUUUACCACCACAGUUAACCUAUAAAACAAAAACAAUCCUUCCUUAAGUUGUUGUUGC
rnacentral:pre_miRNA from 1 species